rnacentral:rRNA from 1 species
ACGGAGGAUCCAAGCGUUAUCCGGAAUCAUUGGGUUUAAAGGGUCCGUAGGCGGGCCUGUAAGUCAGUGGUGAAAUCCGGCGGCUUAACCGUCGAACUGCCAUUGAUACUGCAGGUCUUGAAUUAUUGGGAAGUAACUAGAAUAUGUAGUGUAGCGGUGAAAUGCUUAGAUAUUACAUGGAAUACCGAUUGCGAAGGCAGGUUACUACCAAUGGAUUGACGCUGAUGGACGAAAGCGUGGGGAGCGAACAGGA